UACGUAGGUGGCAAGCGUUGUCCGGAUUUACUGGGCGUAAAGAGCGCGCAGGCGGUCGUUCAAGUCGCGUGUGAAAGCCCCCGGCUCAACUGGGGAGGGUCACGCGAUACUGAUCGACUCGAAGGCAGGAGAGGGUAGUGGAAUUCCCGGUGUAGUGGUGAAAUGCGUAGGAUAUCGGGAGGAACACCAGUGGCGAAGGCGACUACCUGGCCUGUUCUUGACGCUGAGGCGCGAAAGCUAGGGGAGCAAACGGGG
rnacentral:rRNA from 1 species